rnacentral:lncRNA from 1 species
CUUUAAUCCCAUGAACUCUCCACUUUUAAUAGCCUUUUAUACCUCUUUCUUUUCAGAAUCAACAACCGCAAGUGUACACUCAUCCAUCUAUACACACUUCUCAUUCAGAACAUCUUGAGUUCCUGGUUCGGUCUUGUAUCCUGGAGCAUUUCCUGCCUCUCAUCCUCAUCUUCUACAACUUUGGUAAGCCUCUUCCUUUUUUCUCUUUGCAAUGUUUAACCCAUUACCUCUGUCCACUUCACAGUUCCACCACCAUGUCAACCUUUAACCUGGCUGGAACUUUGCACCAACCUCAUAUUUGGUUCUUUGCUCUCAACAGGUUGCCCCAAAGGGAACUUCCAUUUGUCCACAAUGUUAUAUGUCUCUAUCUCAUCAAAUGCUUCAAGAAGUACUUCUCUAAAUCUCUGACUAUUCACCGAUCCUUUAAGCUCCCAUAUCAUCCCUUUCCGAACUGGUUUAUGUCUCCGAGUCUUUCUAGUUUCAAGUCAGAAGCCAGGAGCUGAGUUAUACAUUCCCCACUUGGGAAUGACUUCGCAUUCACAAGAAUUGGUCUGUCCUAUUUCCUGGUGAGGCUGCAGUCAAUCGGCAAUCAGCCAGAUUGAUGAGUGAUCAAGUGGCAGGUUGGUCACUCAAAAGUUAAGUGUUGCACAUCAAACCAUUUGCACCACUGAACUUUGGCC